AGGAGCCGUAUGAGGUGAAAAUCUCAUGUGCGGUUCUGUAGAGGGGCAGGAAUGGUGACUUAUCUAUC
rfam:Oryza glumipatula chromosome 1, whole genome shotgun sequence.